UACGGAAUGUGCAAACGGUUAUUCGGAAUCACUGGGCUUAAAGAGUCCGUGAGGCGGCAUGUUAGGUGAGGUGUGAAAUCCCACGGCUCACCGUAGGAAUUGCGCUUCAAAACCGGCGUGCUUGAGGUAAGAUGAGAGGUGGGCGGAACUGAUGGUGGAGCGGUGAAAUGCGUUGAUAUCAUCAGGAACACCGGAGGCGAAGGCGGCCCACUGGGUCUUUCUGACGCUGAGGGACGAAGCGUA
rnacentral:rRNA from 1 species